rnacentral:lncRNA from 1 species
GAGAAAUGCUAACCUUGUAGCAUGUGAAGAAUGUCUGUACCUUGAUACGAUAGUUACAUAAUCAGUAUAUUUGGUUUCUAGAUCACUGUGCUUAUUUUGUUUCAAUCUCUGACUAAAAAUACUUAAAUUUGGUUUGUUAAUUCUUAUUUUAGAAAUUAUAAUUUUAGUUUAUAUUAAUUUCGGUUAUAGCUUACUGAAGAAAUCUUUCCAGUUAGAAGGAGGUUCUAAUAUUCACAUGUUCUAAUACUUUGUUUAUUGUAAAACAGCUAAAUUUGGAGAUACGUAAAGCCUUGUUUUCUCUGUGUGGUUCAGCUACUUUCCAUUUGGUAUUACACAGUCAAAUUUACAUUUAUCUAUUAAAAUUGCCAUUUUAUUAAACAUUUU